GGGAGCACAAAGAGGGGCACAGGGCCACCAAGUGGGUCUUGGAUCUGCCCUCCAGGUGUGGGCCCAUCGCUGGAUGGAUCUGUCGGAACACGGCUUUGGGCUGGCCCUGCUCAACGACUGCAAGUAUGGCGCGUCAGUGCGAGGCAGCAUCCUCAGCCUCUCGCUGUAAGUGGGGUACCCACCAGGCCUGGGAGCUGGCAUGGAGAAAUGGGUCUUCCCGACCACAACUCCAACAGCUUCAGCGUGGCCCCUACGCGCCCUCCUCACCCCAGCUUGCGGGCGCCUAAAGCCCCGGACGCUACUGCUGACACGGGGCGCCACGAGUUCACCUACGCGCUGAUGCCGCACAAGGGCUCUUUCCAGGAUGCUGGCGUUAUCCAAGCUGCCUACAGCCUAAACUUCCCCCUGCUGGCUCUGCCAGCCCCCAGCCCAGCGCCCGCCACCUCCUGGAGUGCGUUUUCCGUGUCUUCACCCGCGGUCGUAUUGGAGACCGUCAAGCAGGCAAGGGCAGCCCCCAGCGCCGCUCGCUGGUCCUGAGGCUGUAUGAGGCCCACGGCAGCCACGUGGAUUGCUGGCUGCACUUGUCGCUGCCGGUUCAGGAGGCCAUCCUGUGAGUGGCGGUGAGGGAUUGGGGCGGGGGUCGAGUCUCGCCCUCGCAGAGCCUUCAUGGCCCCUCCUGUUCUCCAGCUGCGAUCUCUUGGAGCGACCAGACCCUGCUGGCCACUUGACCCUUCGGGACAACCGCCUGAAGCUCACCUUUUCUCCCUUCCAAGUGCUGUCCCUGUUGCUCGUGCUUCAGCCUCCACCACACUGAGUCCUUGGGGCUGGGGUUUUGUUUGUUUUGUAGAAGGCUCUGGGGACUCCUAAUUUCUGCUUCCCCAGCCUAAAGCAGGGAUCAGUCUCUUCUUGUGGAAUAAAUCCUUGGAUCAGGAA
rnacentral:sRNA from 1 species